AGAGUUUGAUCCUGGCUCAGAUUGAACGCUGGCGGCAGGCCUAACACAUGCAAGUCGAACGGUAACAGGAAACAGCUUGCUGUUUCGCUGACGAGUGGCGGACGGGUGAGUAAUGUCUGGGAAACUGCCUGAUGGAGGGGGAUAACUACUGGAAACGGUAGCUAAUACCGCAUAACGUCGCAAGACCAAAGAGGGGGACCUUCGGGCCUCUUGCCAUCGGAUGUGCCCAGAUGGGAUUAGCUAGUAGGUGGGGUAACGGCUCACCUAGGCGACGAUCCCUAGCUGGUCUGAGAGGAUGACCAGCCACACUGGAACUGAGACACGGUCCAGACUCCUACGGGAGGCAGCAGUGGGGAAUAUUGCACAAUGGGCGCAAGCCUGAUGCAGCCAUGCCGCGUGUAUGAAGAAGGCCUUCGGGUUGUAAAGUACUUUCAGCGGGGAUGAAGGGAGUAAAGUUAAUACCU
rnacentral:rRNA from 1 species